AAUCAUUCUGAACAAUAUUUUCCAUGCCCAACACUAUCAGGGAUAUUUAAAAAGGACGUACACAAUUACAUUGACAGAUGGAAACCAACAUGUAACCGAAUUGUUAUCAGGGGCUCCUGGAAGCUGGUUAAGAAAACAGAAGGAAGGAAGAAGAAAGCCUUGAUCAAAAGACUGACCUUCACAUGAGAAGAGGGAAUUCUGCAGCAGAAGGCCUCUGGACUUGAAAUGAAGCAUUGACUCUCUCCUGAGUUGCCAGUCUGCUGGUCCACCCUACAGAUUUUGACUUGACAGCCUCUAUAAUCAGUUUCCUUUGCAGUUAAAAGUGCUCAUGCU